CUUUAUGAGGUAAGGAAAUUGUCACCAAGAAAGGCCCGGUGAUUUGCCCGUCUCACAGUUAGUUAAUGACAGAAACCGAACCUCUGGUCUCCUAAGCUGCAGUCAUGUAUCCCACGUAUUUUCAAGGGUUCCGACUGCAGGAUCACAACGGACAGAACACCAAGCGGUUCAUAGAGUGUGAUCUCUGCCACUCCGGGAGAGCAUCGCGUUGAAGGUCACUCCUUGUCUUGCUUCUGAAGAUGCCAUUAGGGACUGCUGAUAACUGAUCGCAAGUGCGCGGAGAACCUCUGCAUCGCCUCAUGCGAUUGGUUGACUCCACUUCAAACGUGCCAUAUACAUCGCACCUGUUUCCAGUCCAGCUGAACACGCUUUGCGUUCUCAUUUUUAACGUCUUAGAAGAACAAGCUCGUGGUUACCAUAGCAACUGUCCGGCGGCGACUUCUGCUUGGAGAUGAGAAUGCCAACAACAAUACUGCUUCUUUUUCUUGAUCUAGACUAGCCUUGCGGGUGGGCCCAGGCACGGGUGAUUUUCUCUUAUAAGCUUCUCAGAUGAUAAUGUACGGCCAGUGUUAGGAGAUCUGAUACAGCCUUUUAAAUUCUCAUUAAGACUGGUCUGGCCAAGAGUUCAGCCAGUUCAUUCAAUCUCAUGCCUCCUGUUUCACUUCCGAACUUCCCAUAAGUGCCUACCUGGUGACUUAUUUAAAACCCUCUUCUCAAAGGAAAGGAUCUGGUCCACUCUGGCGCAGUAUGUGAUUUCUGGCUUUCCGAGAUCACUCAAGCAAUAAUAUUCACACUCAUGGAAAAAUGAUCAGCUCAGUUCGACCACCCCGAAAGAGGAAAAGAGGCUGGAAUGUAGCCAAAGAAAGCAAGAUCACACAGGGCUGGAAAGUCAGACCGACGAGUUCAAAGUCAACUCCACAGGCUUUGAGAAAGAGUCCUUGGAGAUUCAAGUACUUUGUUGAUUAACAGAAGAGACAGUACAAAGAGCCAUGAGACCCAGCUUUUGCUUCCAUGGAUCAACAUAUUUCAAUUCAAAAUACUGACUGAGUCCAGGGUAGGGAAUUUAGGAAAGAAUUAUGUACAAACAACCAUCAUUAGAAGAGUUAAAUAGAAAGAGACAAACAUAGGAAUGAUAAGCCAACAGAGGCCCCAGGGAGAAGGUAAUGUGUGAGUUAAGCCUUGAAGAAGUAGGAUCACAUCCUGGGAAUGCUGGGGCACCAUUUUCUUCAGUUUCAUUUGACUCUGGACAUUGUGACUGAAAAUGUGCCCUAAGAAGUCCAUUUUGUCUGGAUGACAUACUUGAAAGGAGAAAACCACAAUGUUCAUUUACUUCACAAAUAAAGACAACAUUCACUUAUUUUCACCGAGUUUGCUAAGCU